AUAUCUCUUCCUGGAUUGGUACGUUUUACUCGAGGACUCCACUAGGACCGAUUGCAUGGUCAACAGUCCCGGCCUCCUCGCUGUCCUAUACUGAAAUUACACUACAUUACACACUCUGUCUCUGGUCCACCAAGGCUUCUGAUCACAUGACCGCAACACGGGCCAUCUUUACGUGCAAACGUCAGACCAGUAUUUGUCCUUUGUCCGUCGACGUAGUACGCUAAACUGUAUUACUGGCCUGUGUCACAUGUGUCAGCUGAUUGUACACAGUUAACACUAUCGCGUCGCCAAUAGGAUUACAACACCCAGGGUGAAGAAGGCGUGACUAAAAAACUAAAGUUAGUUGAAGCAGAGCUGGCAAAGUUAAAGAUAAAGUAUGCUGUAAGUUAUUUGACUAAUUUCAUGAGAAGCAACAAACAACUGAAAUAAAUCAGCCAAAUGUUCCUCAUUCUUCGAGGACUCCCUUUUGAUUACCCGAGGCACUCACUUGGAUGGCUGCCUGGUCGUGCAGUUUGCGCGCUGGACUGUCGUUCGGAUAUAUCGACGGUCGAGGGUUCA